AUUCAAUCAUGAAAGUAAAGCAGGUGAGACAUUUACUAAGAUUUUAAAUAAAGUGACCACACUUUUGUAUCAGCAGGUUUAGUGUAGGUGACUGUGGGCACCCUUUCACUGACUGAGUUAAAAAGGGGGAUCGAUUAAUAACUUUAAAAAAACUAGUUUAGUGUAUUUUCUUGUCUAGGGUUAAGUACAUUGUUAGCAGUAACUUGUCUUUAAGCAAACCUUGACAUUUUGAGAUGCACAUAAUUAUACAUUUUUUUAGAAUGUAACAUAAAAAAGGCUUGGAAAUAUAAAGCUUCACAUUGUAUGGAAUUUGUCUGUUGUUGAAGACUCUUUGAGUGAAGAAAUUUAUGGGAAAUUAUCUAUAUCAACUCAAGGAUGUUUUUUUAAUUGCAAAGUGAUAUCUAAACUCUUGGUAAUAGAUUUUUUU
rnacentral:lncRNA from 1 species